rnacentral:rRNA from 1 species
UACAGAGGGUGCGAGCGUUAAUCGGAAUGAUUGGGCGUAAAGCGCGCGUAGGCGGUAAGAAAAGUUGGAUGUGAAAGCUUCGGGCUUAACCUGGAAACAGCAUCCAAAACUGACUUACUAGAAUUCAGCAGAGGAAAGUGGAAUUUCCAGUGUAGCGGUGAAAUGCGUAGAUAUUGGAAGGAACACCAGUGGCGAAGGCGGCUUUCUGGGCUGAAAUUGACGCUAAGGCGCGAAAGCGUGGGGAGCGAACAGGAUUAGAUACCCUGGUAGUCCACGCCGUAAACGAUGAGAACUAGCUGUUGGUGUCGCAAGACAUAAGUGGCGCAGUUAACACGAUAAGUUCUCCGCCUGGGGAGUACGGCCGCAAGGUUAAAACUCAAAGGAAUUGACGGGGGCCCGCACAAGCGGUGGAGCAUGUGGUUUAAUUCGAUGCAACGCGAAGAACCUUACCUACCCUUGACAUCCCACGAAUCCCCAAGAGAUUGGGGAGUGCCCGAAAGGGAAUGUGGAGACAGGUGCUGCAUGGCUGUCGUCAGCUCGUGUCGUGAGAUGUAGGGUUAAGUCCCGUAACGAGCGCAACCCCUGUUCUUAGUUACCAUCUAAUAAUGUAGGGUACUUUAAGAAGACUGCCAGUGAUAAACUGGAGGAAGGCGGGGAUGAUGUCAAGUCAUCAUGACCUUUAUGGGUAGGGCGACACACGUGCUACAAUGGCAAGUACAGAGGGAGGCAACCCUGCGAAGGCAAGCGAAUCCCUUAAAGCUCUCCGUAAUUUGGAUUGGAGUCUGCAACUCGACUCCAUGAAACUGGAAUCGCUAGUAAUCGCAGAUCAGCGCGCUGCGGUGAAUACGUUCUCGGGCCU